UUAGCUAAUAGCUACAGGUAGCUGCACUUAGUUAAUAGCUACAGGUAACUGCACUUAGUUAAUAGCUACAGGUAACUGCACUUAGUUAAUAACUACAGGUAACUGCACUUAGUUAAUAGCUACAGGUAACUGCACUUAGUUAAUAGCUACAGGUAACUGCACUUAGUUAAUAACUACAGGUAACUGCACUUAGUUAAUAGCUACAGGUAACUGCACUUAGUUAAUAACUACAGUUAGUUAA